rnacentral:RNase_P_RNA from 1 species
AACAACAGUCGUUCUGUCGCUGUUUUUACGUGUAUACGUGGAAAGAGAGGAAAGUCCGGACAACACAGAGCACCAUGCUUCCUAACAGGAAGGGGCUUGCAAGAGCUACAGAAAGUGCCGCAGAAAAUAACCGCUUCAUACGAAGUAAGGGUGAAAACGUGAGGUAAGAGCUCACGCCAAAUCGUAGCAAUACGGUUUUGGGGGUAAACCUCAUGGGUUGAAAGACCAAAUAAACCGAGGCUUGAGGGUGGCUCGCCUGACUCGGAGGGUAGGUCGAUAGAACUUAAUGGCGACAUUAAGUCUAGAUAAAUGACAGAAUAUUACAGAAUCCGGCUUAUAGACUGUUGUUUUUU